rnacentral:rRNA from 1 species
GACGAACGCUGGCGGCGUGCCUAAUACAUGCAAGUUGAGCGCUGAAGGUUGGUACUUGUACCAACUGGAUGAGCAGCGAACGGGUGAGUAACGCGUGGGGAAUCUGCCUUUGAGCGGGGGACAACAUUUGGAAACGAAUGCUAAUACCGCAUAAAAACUUUAAACACAAGUUUUAAGUUUGAAAGAUGCAAUUGCAUCACUCAAAGAUGAUCCCGCGUGUAUUAGCUAGUUGGUGAGGUAAAGGCUCACCAAGGCGAUGAUACAUAGCCGACCUGAGAGGGUGAUCGGCCACAUUGGGACUGAGACACGGCCCAAACUCCUACGGGAGGCAGCAGUAGGGAAUCUUCGGCAAUGGACGAAAGGCUGACCGAGCAACGCCGCGGGAGUGAAGAAGGUUUUCGGAUCGUAAAACUCUGUUGGUAGAGAAGAACGUUGGUGAGAGUGGAAAGCUCAUCAAGUGACGGUAACUACCCAGAAAGGGACGGCUAACUACGUG